AGCAAGUACAGUAUCUGUCUGCCCCCUAGUGUAAGUCUCUUAUCUGCCUAAAAUUCAACUUUAAAAGAAAAGGAUCUCUUAAAGGGAAACGACUUUUGGCUCACGUAUGCAUACGAGAAUGAAACUUCUGUGCAUUUUAAUCUGAUUAAUUCCUAAGGAUUUAAAAUUAAUUGGCUUGGACACUCCUAGACGGACAGUUAGAUUUCUGCAUCAGGGUUUCUCCAAGCCGUGUGUUGAAUAGGUAUUUUUAAGCGGAGGGGGGGGGGGGGCUGGUUUGUGAUUUUUUUUAAAUGAGAAGCCAUGCCUCUCAUGCUUUUGUCAGAACAGAGCAGUUUUGCUGCUUAAAGUCAGAUCUGCACCUUUUGCAAUAAAGAAGGAUAAAUAUUUGCCUUAAAGCUGCAGACCAGCUGCCAACCGCACCUUCCGAUGUAUGAAGAUAGAAAUAUGUUAACUACUGAGGCAGGCGGCAACAUUUCUGCAAUGACGAUUAUGUCUAAUUUCUUGCGGCAUAUGGGGCCAAAUCCUGCAGUCUCUUACUCAGGCAAAACUCCUGUUGAUUUCGGUCUGAGUUUUGCCGAAGCAUGGAAAGACUUGGCCGUCGAUGAGAACUGAGUCAGUGAUAAAUCGGCAUAACUACGCUGAAUUAAAGGGAUCUGCACCCAUUUACACUGUCUGCGGAUCAGGCCUGAUCAAGAGACUUCUGCUUGUGCAAUGAGGUCAGCUUGAGUGGACCCAGGCACACAAAUGGAGUCCCAGAGGCUGGACAGAUUUGAUGAUGAAUUUUAGCAGACAGAAUCCCUGCCCUCUGCAGCUGUGAAGCCCUGGGAAAUAAUCCACACAAAAGAAUUUCGGAAAUGAAAGCUGUCUCUGCCAUCUUUUGUUUAAUUAACACAGGCACUAAGGUGCAAGUUCUUGUUGCCCAAUCCCCACCUUCAGCCAAGGGACAGGUAUGAGUAAUCCAUUGAAAGGAGAAAAUUAAAGACUAGAAGGUAAGCAAAGACUGAAGUAAAACAGGCAUAUUCACAUGGCAGGAAUUGAUUCAUUUUUAUACCAAAAGAAGAUUUCAGAUGGGAGUUCUCACUGGCUUGGAAUUAUCGCAGUGGCUGAGGCUUGAUUCACUGCAAAGACAAGUACAUAAUUUAUUCACCAUUUAGUAUUAUUAUUAUUUCACUCUGGGAUCAAAAAAAAAAGUUGGGUUCUCAAGGAGAAAGUCCCAAAUUUAGACACAAUUAGAGCAAGAGUAAAAUUUCAGGGCAAGUGGAUUCAUGUUCCAGUUGGAUUUUCCCCAGUGCAAAAGUUUAUCUUUAAUCCCCAGCCCAGCCACAAAGCUUUACUUGACCAUUUCUUGAUCUAUUCAGUAAAACAUAUAUUGUUACCAUAGCAACAGCUGCAUCAUUUAUACAUCAAAUUAUUUUAUCAGUUCAGCCCCUUGAGAUUUAGCAUUUCACUUGUAAGGGAUCCUAUAAUACACAUUAGUUAUGCUACCUCUACCUUCUGAUGGGUUGAGUAAUUUUUUUAUGCUAUUCGUAUUUUACAGUGCAUUGAAACAUUUCCUUGCAUUUUAUUUGACUAUCUUAGGAUGUUGCAAGGCAAUAAUACAAAGAUGCAAAAAUAGCUCUUGGCAUGUAAUAUGGACAUGACUUACAUGCAUUACAAUCUUUUCUUUGGCAGCUGUCAUUCCAGUCUAGAUUGUGAGACCCUCACUCACAUCAGUCUCAGAUCUUUGCUGGCCCAUCAAAAUCAAGAAGCAAGAAAUGGCAUAACUAAUGUGUACUAUAGAAAUCAAUGGAACUGCUUGGGAGCACAGUUCUACUCAAUGUGAGUUAAGAUUGCACAAUUUAGGCCUCUAGUAAGUGUUACUACUAUUGCUACUUUGAACAAACUUUAUUAAGUAGUUUUGACUUAUUUAAAUGCAUUCUUUGAAAUGGCAAUACUACUACUAAUAUAAUUCAUUCUUUCUUUGACUAUGUGAUUUGUCCUAUCUUCGGUAUCAUGAAGGGUUACUCUUGCCCUAGCUAGCAUUCAUUCAGAUACUCAGCUAAAUCUUCCAAUGGAGAUCCUCAGAUUUCACUUUAUGUGUCUGCAGGUAAAACACGAGAGCUUCCCAGAUAAUGACAAGGUUGUAUGUACGUAGAGAUAGCAACAAAACUAGAUUUAUGCAUCAAGACUCAAAGCCUUUCUAACUUCUGGAUGGUUUGAUGCAUUCACUGAAGUCUGGCCAACAUGACCUGAGGGUAUUUGCAUUGUUGAGAAGCUUCUAAACAUUCUGCUUCCCUUUCUUCCUCUCUAUUCUCAACAAGUCCUGGAACUAUCUCUGAAGAUAUUUAAGACAGAAAGCUGCUGCAUUCUGCAGAAGUGAAGUUAGUAACUUCCAUCUUCAACUCUGGAUACUGAGAACUGCUAAGGCCCAGCCUAGAAAUGAUGGACACACAGAUCAUUGUGGCCAGAUCCUCGUCUAAGAAGACUGGAGUCCAGGUUUGCUGUCGUGGAGACCAGAGAAGAAGUAACUAAAAGAAAGGAAAAGAAACACUGGAGAAUAAAAGUACAUUUGAAAUGGAAGAAAUCUACAUUUCAAUGAAAAUACUUUUAAGCUAUUUCAGAUGACUGAGUGAAAUAAUUACGAAGUUUGGAAAUAGAGAACAGUAGCUUUGAUAUCUUUUUCUUCUGCGAAGCAAUUAAAAUAAGCAAUUUUUCAAAUACUAAGCAGAAAAUUGCUAAUGGUUGAACCCAAAA